rnacentral:ncRNA from 1 species
UCAUCUUAAUAUACCCCUAACCGAGACCACGGGGAAAAGUCUCUCAUAUCCACCAGUGAAGGGAUUGGUGGAAAUACCAGUAUCG